rnacentral:rRNA from 1 species
GACGAACGCUGGCGGCGUGCUUAACACAUGCAAGUCGAACGGAAAGGCCCUGCUUUUGUGGGGUGCUCGAGUGGCGAACGGGUGAGUAACACGUGAGUAACCUGCCCUUGACUUUGGGUUAACUUUAGGAAACUGUGGCUAAUACCGGAUAGGAGCUCUUGCUGCAUGGUGGGCGUUGGAAAGUUUCGGCGGUUGGGGAUGGACUCGCGGCUUAUCAGCUUGUUGGUGGGGUAGUGACUUACCAAGGCUUUGACGGGUAGCCGGCCUGAGAGGGUGACCGGCCACAUUAGGACUGAGAUACGGCCCAGACGCGUACGGGAGGCAGCAGUGGGGAGUAUUGCACAAUGGGCGGAAGCCUGAUGCGGCAACGCCGCGUGCGGGAUGACGGCCUUCGGGUUGUAAACCGCUUUCGCAUGUGACGAAGCGUGAGUGACGGUAAUGGGUAAAGAAGCACCGGCUAACUACGUG